UACGGAGGAUGCGAGCGUUAUCCGGAUUUAUUGGGUUUAAAGGGUGCGUAGGCGGGCUGUUAAGUCAGCGGUAAAAUAUCGGGGCUCAACCCCGUUUAGCCGUUGAAACUGGCGGUCUUGAGACGGUGAGAGGUACGCGGAAUGCGCGGUGUAGCGGUGAAAUGCAUAGAUAUCGCGCAGAACUCCGAUUGCGAAGGCAGCGUACCGGUGCCGAUCUGACGCUGAGGCACGAAAGCGUGGGGAUCGAACAGG
rnacentral:rRNA from 1 species